UAUUAAAAGUUCCAUCAACUUUUUACUGUUAAAAACUAGUCUUUGUACAUUAGCAUUUCGUUAGCUACGCCAUUUUUAACAGUAGAAAUAGAUGGAAUUUUUAAUA
rfam:Gossypium hirsutum cultivar TM-1 chromosome 20, whole genome shotgun sequence